ensembl:misc_RNA Metazoa_SRP Metazoan signal recognition particle RNA
GCCAGGCAUGAUGGCUCAUGCCUGUAAUCCCAGCACUAUGGGAGGCCGAGGCAGGUGGAUCACCUGAGGUCAGGAGUUUGAGACCAGCCUGGCCAACAUGGUGAAACUCUGUCUCUA